GUCCUUAGUUACCUAGCACGUUAUGGUGGGCGACUCUAAGGAGACUGCCGGUGACAAACCGGAGGAAGGUGGGGAGUGACGUCAAGUCAUCAUGGCCCUUACGGCCUGGGCUACACACGUGCUACAAUGGUCGGUACAAAGGGUUGCCAAGCCGCGAGGUGGAGCUAAUCCCAUAAAACCGAUCGUAGUCCAGAUCGCAGUCUGCAACUCGACUGCGUGAAGUCGGAAUCGCUAGUAAUCGUGAAUCAGAAUGCCGCGGUGAAUACGUUCCCGGGCCUU
rnacentral:rRNA from 1 species